GUCAGUCGAUCGUUAUUUCUGUUUGUUAUUUUGGUGUUCAUUUUGUAUUCAUUAAAACGUCGAGAUGAGCAUUCACAUACCUGCUGCGUUUUGGUCCUCUUUAACCGACGACAAGCGUGACACAACUGCUUUAAAUCCUCUGUGUCUGUCAGCUCUUACAGCAGCCAGGUCAGAAUAUGUUGUUCAACCAUGUUUCUCAAAGGUCAAAUGUUGAAGUUGUUCCAAAUGUCAAAUUUCGAUGUGUUUAAGGUUAAGUUUAGAAAUGAAGGUUAAGUUAAGGUAUUAACUGAAGAGUUUUUAAGGUUAGGGUUAAGUUAAGAUAUUAAUUCAGAGUUUUUAAGGUUAGGGUUAUGUUAAGGUAUUAAUUCAGAGUUUUUAAGGUUAGGGUCAAGUUAAGACACUAACUCCAAAUUCUUAAAGUUAGGCAUUAAUGAAUGGUUAAGGUAUUAACUCUGAAUGGUUAAGGUAAGGGUUAAGGUUAGGCAUUAAUGAAUGGUUAAGGUAAAGGUUAUGGUUAGGCAUUAAUGAAUGGUUAAGGUAAGGGUUAAGGUUAGGCAUUAAUGAAUGGUUAAGGUAAGGGUUAAGGUUAGGCAUGAAUGAAUGGUUAAGGUAAAGGUUAUGGUUAGGCAUUAAUUAAUGGUUAAGGUAAGGGUUAAGGUUAGGCAUUAAUGAAUGGUUAAGGUAAAGGUUAUGGUUAGGCAUUAAUAAAUGGUUAAGGUAAGGGUUAAGGUUAG
rnacentral:lncRNA from 1 species